UACGGAGGAUGCGAGCGUUAUUCCGGAUUUAUUGGGUUAAAGGGUGCGUAGGCGGACAGUCAAGGUCAGCGGUAAAAAUGCGGUGCUCAAACGCCCGGUACAGCCGUUGAAACUGGCAGUCUUGAGUGGCGAGAAGUAUGCGGAAUGCGUGGUGUAGCGGUGAAAUGCAUAGAUAUCACGCAGAACUCGAUGCGAAGGCAGCAUACCGGCGCCCUACUGACGCUGAGGACGAAAGCGUGGGUAGUCGAAACAGGAUUAGAU
rnacentral:rRNA from 1 species